rnacentral:lncRNA from 1 species
AGAUUACUACAGUAUCUUAAAUCAUGUCUGCCGGUCCCUUCAGUGCUUUGGAAUAGAAUUCACGUGGGCCCAAUGUCAUAAAUCUUCUUAAAGCUGCCAGGUGCGCUCACUUUUGCAUUUACACGACCUACCUUGCUUCUACCCAUUUUAAUAUCAAACUACGCUGUGUUUAAAAGAGCAAUGGCUGGGAGUUCCCGUCAUGGCUCAGUGGUUAAUGAAUCCGACUAGGAACCAUGAGGUUGUGGGUUAGAUCCCUGACCUUGCUCAGUGGGUCAAGGAUCCGGCGUUGCCAUGAGGUGUAGUGUAUGUAGGUCGCAGAUGCAGCUUGGAUCCCGAGUUACAGUGGCUGUGGUGUCGGCCGGCAGCUAUAGCUCCGAUUAGACCCUUAGCCUGGGAACUGCCAUAUACCACUGGUGUAGUCCUAGAAAAGACAAAAUAAAAUAAAAUGAAAGAGCAAUGGCUUUGUGACCAGAAAAGACUUGGGUUUAAGCCCUAUUCUUGUCUCAUACUAGUUUGUGGCUUCAGUCCAGUUAUUCAUCUACUCUAGGUUUCCAUUUUCUUAUCUGAAAAAUGGAUAUAACCUCAUAGGGUUGUAAGGUGAAUGGUAUCAGUCAAGAGACAGAAAUGGUACCAGUUAUUUUAACAGAGAACUUCACAUCAAGAUUCAUCAACCAGGUAUUGAAAAAAUGAAAAGGCAAGGAACAAACACUAAGGAAGUAGCUGUCCUGGGAAGCAGCUAUCAUCCUAAAACUGGAGAAUAAAUGGAAGAGUUUGAGGCCCUGAAGGUGCAGAAGCUUGAGAACAGGUCCUGCAAAGCUGACUCACGCCUCUGAGGAAGGUUACUGCUCGGCUGUACCAUUGCCUUAGGAACUUGAAGGCUGCAUCCUUGGGAAAGGCCCAGACCUCUAGGAUGGGGCGCUGGUUGGCUGGUGCUGGGGUGUCUAGGGGGUGUAAUGGUGCUGGUUCUGCACGUGUUGUUAAGAAUAUACACGAGACUCACCUGUGCUAGUGGAGCAAUCCGCUGAUGCCGCUGGGGUGAAGUUCCAUUGCUGGAUGGUUGUCCAGGGAACAGUAAGACAAAAAGGAAUCGAAGUGCAUAGGGAGCGGUUGCCCUUCUGGCUCCAGCCUCAGAGUCUCCCUCUCUCGCCCUCUAUUGGCAAAUCCUCACAGGGAUCCGGUUGAUAAAAGAGAACUGAGGUUUGUGGGGUCCCGGCCCUACAAUCACAGAGAAGAGCAGAAAAGGGGUGGGUUUGAUUCUGGCCAAUGAUAACUUAAUAACUGGUUACUCCACAGGCUUCUUUCUUCCACACAAGCGCUUCCCUAUGGACUUGAGACACAGAAAACAACCUCAGGCUUUUGACUGGCACAGUGCAACUUCCUUUACACAAAUGUUCUCAAUCCUUAUUGUACCUCAGUGUCCCAACAGUCUCUCUGAGUCCCAGCAGUCAUCGCAGCUACCUUUGAGAGACAGUCACUUCAUCCACCUUGAAGCCCUCUUAGUUAUUACUAAGAUAAAAUCUCAAUAAAACAUUCUAUUACUGAAAGGCUAAUCUGGCUUAUAUAAAAUUAGUAAGAAGAAGGAGAGGAAGAAAUACAAAAUGAGUCUACAUCAGGGGUUGGCAAACUGGUCAAAUCCAAGUUUAAAAAUAAAGCUUUAUUGGAACACAGCCACACCCAUUAAUCUACAUAUUGUCCCUGGCUGCUUUGGGGCCACAAUGAUACAAUUGAGUACUUUUAACAGAGACCAUAUGACUGGCAAAGGCCAAAAUGUUUGUUAUAUGACCCGUUACAGAAAAGAUUAUAACCUUUAGGUAAACGCGUGCACGCGUGUGCACGCGCACACACACACCUUCUAAAACUGGCCUAUUUCAAGUUUUCUAUGCUCUCAGUCAGAAUUUCAGCAGGUUUCUUACCUCUUGAAGUGGCCCAAACAAUCAUUCCUGAAUGAAUGUCAGAAUGAAUUCAGAAGUAUCCCAGUCCUCAGCAGUUCUGCCCUUUGUGGUUGUUGGCGUUUUCCAUUAACUUUUAUUAUUUGUAAUUUAAGUACUAGACUAGACCUCAAGCAGUCCCUGAGCUCUAGGCAUGGUCCUCUGUACCACCAUUUUUGUCGUAUCAACACAAUUGGCUCUCGGUAGUCAGAAUCAAUCAUCCUGACCAGGAGAGUAAUCUUCUUUCUCUGCUGGUCAGGGACAGGAGGACUCCAAAAUGACCAGGUAGCAGUCUCACUCUUCAGCUCAGCAGAAAUACUGCUGUGUGCUCAAAGGGAAUUCUUCCCUCCAAACCAGGGCAGAUCACUAUUUUUGCACUCAGGCGGCAACAAUUCUGCAAGAAGGGUAUUAGAGGUAAGAGUGAGAGGGGCCACCCUCACAUCCAUCCUUUGAUUCCAUGAAUGCUGGUUAUGGAUGAACACCAAAUAUUGGUCACUGAUCUAAGCACAAACUGUAUCGUGGAAGACAGAACUCCCUGCUUUCAGGAUAUUCUCUUCUAACUGGCACCGAAACCUAGUUUGCAAUGAGCCAUCUCACCUCAUCUUUUGGGAUAGUUGCUUCCGACGAUGGCAAAUUCCGGGUGAUGAAUUUCUUCUGCUAAACAGCCUGGGCAAUGGUUGUCUAGACCCCUGCAGACAUCUCGACUGCUGCAUCCAACCUGCAUAAUUCCCUGUGGUGGAUCAGCUAGAAUAGGUUGGUGGGCCUGGAAAAAGAGUCUCUUCUUUCUCUUGGGUACAGCCCCAACAGAGGCCAAUCUGUAUGCCUGGACCCCAGGCCAUGUUCCAGGUCAGCCAUGCCUGGUUCUAUGGCCAUUACCCGACUCCUUCUUCAGUAUGAAAUGAAAUACACUUGACAUGAAUGAAAUCUACCUUAUUCUGGUAUUUCUUCUAAAGUCAUACAUAGUGAAAAUAAUUCACGAUUCAUAAUUACUAAAAGUAACACCAGUGUUUCACUGGCCCCAAACAAUCAUUACAUGGGAUCCUAAAAAGGAACAAACAAGAUUCUGGAUAAGCUCAAAUACUAAGGAUUAUUGAUUUGUAAUUAUAUAAGUGAUUUUCAAUCUAAUAAGAGCAGUAAGAUUUGUGUGUUGCAAAUUUUGAAUGUUUCCAAUUUGUAGUUGGCCUUUCAAUUUUUACAUAAAGGAGCUUAAGAAUUUUUAUUUGAGGCUAAUUCAUUUAUCAUUUAAUCAGAAAAAAACCUUUAUAAAUAUCCAAAUGACAUUUCUUUGGUUUCUUUGAGUCUUUGUGCUGUAGAAUCAGGGGAGGGCUGGCAGAAAGUCAGAAACUAGUUCCAGCUGUGCUCCCAACAUUACCUAACAUGCUGUGUGUGACUCUGGAUGUAAACUUUCCUCAUCUGUAAAUGAAAUGAGUACAUCAGAUGAUUUCAAGGUCUUUUUCUUUCUUUCUUUUUUUUGCUUUUUAGGGCCACACCUGCAGCAUAUGGAGGUUCCCAGACUAGGCGUCUAAUCAGAGCUACAGCUGCUG